UAAAACGUAGGAGGCUAGCGUUAUCCGGAUUUAUUGGGCGUAAAGCGUGUGCAGGCGGUUUAGCAAGUUGGAUGUGAAAGCUCCUGGCUUAACUGGGAGAGGUCGUUCAAAACUGCUAGACUAGAGAAUGGGAGAGGGAGGUGGAAUUCCGGGUGUAGUGGUGAAAUGCGUAGAUAUCCGGAGGAACACCAGUGGCGAAAGCGGCCUCCUAGACCAUUUCUGACGCUAAGACACGAAAGCUAGGGUAGCAAACGGG
rnacentral:rRNA from 1 species